CAUUAAAUGGCUGAAAAAAGUGAUGGUCUCUUAAACCAUUUUAUAUCGUUAAUCGAUUUUAAUGA
rnacentral:tRNA from 1 species